CUUCUGCAGGGCCGGGAAAAUAAAGAGAAGAAAAGGAAGAGAAAGACAGAGUCGGCAAAACAACAAGGAAGGAGAAAGAGGAGAAAACUUCAAAAAAAAUCUUGGGCGCGUUUGUUUCACCCUAUUAUUUCCCUGUGCAGAACUAGGAAAAUGAAGAGAAGAAAAGAGAGAGCAAGACAGUCGGCAAAAGAACUGGCAAAAAGAAAGAAGGCAAAAAGUGCUUGAAGUGGAUUUUAGGACCGAGGUGGCUAAGUCGGUCUCAAAUUGCGACUCGAAUUGGGAUUAAAGUUCUUCUUUUCUCCCCCCGCUGCUCAAGCAAAUCGCUGUGGCUCGCUCCUCUGUGACUCCACGCCCAAUCCUCGCUUGCUCCUUGCAAGCUUAAGUCUGUCGAUCACUGUCGCCUCUCCUUUCCCAGGUUCCAUUGUCCGCGAGCUUGAAGCUCGUAUUCCAUGAGCUUCAAGUUUCAUGUCCGUGAGCUUCAAGUCCUUCUCCAGUGCCACUUUUCACUCUCGUACACAUUUUCUUCUUCGGUGCUGCUCAGUAGGAGGAAUUUAGUGCAUUCAUUAACUGCAUCAGUGGCGGGAGUCAUGGGCCUGAACUCAAGAUCUGGAUCACUAGCUAAUCGCUGAAGAACAGUUGUGAUUUCCAUUGGUAAUUUGAAGUCCGCUGCAUAUGGUUGGGGAUUCCACAGCUCAGAUUUACUACCUGGCCGACUAGACAAUUGGCUAGACAAAAUACACACGGCUUUGUCAUCUAUUGAAGCAGGAACACCAAAUCUUGUCGCUUCAGGAUUACUCCCACGUUCCAGUUCUCCGUUUUGCAAAUAUCUUCUUAUUUGAAUUGAAAGAAGAUAGAAAAGUGAGCCACUUCGUGGCAAGGUGCUUGGUCAGGCUCUUGUGCUUCUUAAUUUACUUGCUUGGUGCUUCAUUGUUUUAUGCCUAA